rnacentral:rRNA from 1 species
AGUGAACGCUGGCGGUAGGCCUAACACAUGCAAGUCGAACGGCAGCACAGUAAGAGCUUGCUCUUACGGGUGGCGAGUGGCGGACGGGUGAGGAAUACAUCGGAAUCUACUUUUUCGUGGGGGAUAACGUAGGGAAACUUACGCUAAUACCGCAUACGACCUACGGGUGAAAGCAUGGGAUCUUCGGACCUUGCGCGAUUGAAUGAGCCGAUGUCGGAUUAGCUAGUUGGCGGGGUAACGGCCCACCAAGGCGACGAUCCGUAGCUGGUCUGAGAGGAUGAACAGUCACACUGGAACUGAGACACGGUCCAGACUCCUACGGGAGGCAGCAGUGGGGAAUAUUGGACAAUGGGCGAAAGCCUGAUCCAGCAAUACCGCGUGGGUGAAGAAGGCCUUCGGGUUGUAAAGCCCUUUUGUUGGGAAAGAAAAGCAGCAGGUUAAUACCCCGCUGUUCUGACGGUACCCAAAGAAUAAGCACCGGCUAACUUCGUG